UUUUACAAGUACACAAACAACUACUUUGUUAAUAUAAUAAGAGUAAAUGUACUUAGUUCUUUCUACCCCUGUAGGUAAAGCACAAGCCUUUACUCCCAAGUCAGUGAGCAGCAGAGUUGAACUGUCGGGGAUUAUGUAAGGAGAAAGAUGAUCGUGAUAAGGGAAAACACUAACAGACCAUGUCCUCUUCUUAACCCUGCUCUGCAGAGAGGGUGUCUGCAGCUGGAACAGCCCUCCACCUCCAUCUGUGUGCGGAAGUGAGCUGAAGCAGAGACAAAGGUGGCGUGUGGAUGCAAUAAGGACCUGGCUGUUCUCUGCUUUGUUUACUCAGGUCAAAUAAUACAGACAACUGAUAUACCUGCAGUUGUCUUCCCUGCUGUCGUCCAUGUGCUGCAGGCUGGAGUGGAGGAAGGGUGUCACUGGAGUCCACACAAGGACAGUUCAUCUUGAGGCUUUGACGACCACAUUGGGCAGCGACAUCACCAGUUUAUUGAUUUAAAAUACACGUUGGGAGCAAAUAACAGUGAGAGGACAACCCCCCGUUGGUAAGUAAAGCCAGUACAAAUGACACAUUGGUGAAAACUGGGCUCCAAAAAGAAAAGAAAAGCUUGUUUAUUUAUUUUUUCCACACAAGAAGCUCCAAAUGAAAAGCUUUCAACAUGUUUUUCUUUGAAAUGGAAUCAGAAGAAAUGUCACCUUCCUCCUGUUUUAACACUGAUAAAUACAGGGUUUCUACUAAUCAAAUCUGACCAGAAGAAGGGUUGGGUGCAAGGUGGU